AAUCCAUGGUGGGGGCAUAAUCUGAGCAUCCUCUAAAAUCUAUCCCAAGUUUCGUACAAAGAUUCUCCCUCAUUCUAUUUUAAGCUUGCUAUGAGAUUUCUCAGGUG